AUGCACUAUCAAGGGAAUAGGGUGCCAUUUGGGACGUUGAUGGUAUCCCGUCAACACCAAAACUCUAGAAGUUACUACAGGUCAGUUAGUACAGGUCAGACCGUAUCCCAUCAACACCAAACUCUAGAAGUUACUACAGGUCAGACCGUAUCCCAUCAACACCAAACUCUAGAAGUUACUACAGGUCAGACCGUAUCCCAUCAACACCAAACUCUAGAAGUUACUACAGGUCAGACCGUAUCCCAUCAACACCAAACUCUAGAAGUUACUACAGGUCAGACCGUAUCCCAUCACCACCAAACUCUAGAAGUUAAUACAGGUCAGUUAGUACAGGUCAGACCGUAUCCCAUCAACACCAAACUCUAGAAGUUACUACAGGUCAGACCGUAUCCCAUCAACACCAAACUCUAGAAGUUACUACAGGUCAGACCGUAUCCCAUCACCACCAAACUCUAGAAGUUACUACAGGUUAGACUGUAUCCCGUCAACACCAAACUCUAGAAGUUACUACAGGUCAGACCGUAUCCCAUCAACACCAAACUCUAGAAGUUACUACAGGUCAGACCGUAUCCCGUCAACACCAAACUCUAGAAGUUACUACAGGUCAGACCGUAUCCCAUCAACACCAAACUCUAGAAGUUACUACAGGUCAGACCGUAUCCCAUCAACAACAAACUCUAGAAGUUACUACAUGUCAGAC
rnacentral:lncRNA from 8 species